UUACUUUUGAUUGUAGAACACCGUAUAAAUGUGACAGAUAAAUACUCAGAAUCACAGGAAUGUUGUUUAAAUAAGGUUUUAUUUAGCUUUCCAGUAAAGGAUGUCCUCCAAUUCUGGAAUGACUCACAGUUGCUUUCUACCACUGAAUAGAGAAAAUGCUUACAGGGAGACAAUAUACAAUAUCACGUUCCAAAACAACCUAGGAGAAAGUCUGCUGCAAAACCAAUCCAGUCCAUAACACUCAAAAGUAAAGGCCCCAUAAAGCAAAGUGCCAACCAACAAUCAAAAAAAUAAGCUUGGGCACUAUAUGACUAAUGAAUUUAUAAUUAAUACCAAUACACAUACAUAGUUAGACAGCAGCAACAUGAAGCAGAGCAGAGAUUAGCAGCCAGCAGAUGCCAAGGCAUCGCCUACAGGCAGAUCUGCAGCAGACCAAUAAGGCAGCCAGCAGCAUAUUGCCAAGCACACAAACAAAGCCAAAACACCAGCUUACGGUAUUCUUCUGGCUUGAAGUCAUGUUGGAGGCCGACAGCUGAUAUGAGAAACGGAUGGAGUGGCUGAAUAGUGGCAGCAGCAGCUGGGAGUACGUCGCAAACAUGAUUAUUCCCCCACAAAGUUGUCCUGAAGCGACAUUACUGUUGGCAGGACCGUUGGCCACAUAAUGCUGCUGAGCAGGUAGCCAGCAGCAGGUGGUGGCACGCAUGGAGGGAAGAGAAACGGAGGGAUGGUGAGGACACAGGAAGAGAUGCUCACCAUUGGAUACUGUGACUAGCUGAGUGAUCAAACGGCCGUGGGACUGUGUCAUGUGAGGUGAGUGUGGCUCCAGUCAGAGGCGCUGAGUGUUCAGCAUCCACUGCACUCCCAUCACACUUAAGAGGUGGAACUCUAAAGUAGUGAAAUACCACAAUGGUGAGUAAGAACAUGUACACAGGAUGAUCUCUAAGUCAUAACAUGCUUGUUAGUAAGAUGUCAGACACGUGAAGUAUUGACCCUGACCCUUAAAAUUGUUAAUUUAUCCAAAAGCAUUGAUUAAUCACAGCUGGUGAUUAGUAACAGCUGGUGUUGAGAGCUGCUAAGGCCCAGAUAGUGCCAUUACAUCACCUUGUAUGGUAUGUAGGUUAAUUUCAAUGUAAAUUUGUGCUCUGAUAUGCAUUUACAUACUAUAUCCAGCAGUUGCAUAUUCAUCUAAUCUCAUAUUCAUCAAAUAAUUCGCUGCGAUGUCUAAUGAGGAAGGCACACACCUAUCACAUCACCUGUUCUACAGUAGGAGUACAGUACAAAUUUAAAAUAAAUGUUUUCACACAA